rnacentral:rRNA from 1 species
UGGGGAAUUUUGGACAAUGGGGGAAACCCUGAUCCAGCCAUCCCGCGUGUGCGAUGAAGGCCUUCGGGUUGUAAAGCACUUUUGGCAGGAAAGAAACGUCAUGGGUUAAUACCCCGUGAAACUGACGGUACCUGCAGAAUAAGCACCGGCUAACUACGUGCCAGCAGCCGCGGUAAUACGUAGGGUGCAAGCGUUAAUCGGAAUUACUGGGCGUAAAGCGUGCGCAGGCGGUUCGGAAAGAAAGAUGUGAAAUCCCAGAGCUCAACUUUGGAACUGCAUUUUUAACUACCGGGCUAGAGUGUGUCAGAGGGAGGUGGAAUUCCGCGUGUAGCAGUGAAAUGCGUAGAUAUGCGGAGGAACACCGAUGGCGAAGGCAGCCUCCUGGGAUAACACUGACGCUCAUGCACGAAGGCGUGGGGAGCAAACAGG